rnacentral:rRNA from 1 species
AGGGGGGCAACUCCCUGAGUACAGCGGCGCACGGGUGAGUAACACGUAGGUAACCUACCCUCGAGCCUGGGAUAACCUACCGAAAGGUGGGCUAAUACCGGAUGUGACCACGGGAGUUUCGGCCCCUGAGGUAAAAGAUGGCCUCUGCUUGCAAGCUAUCACUCGUGGAGGGGCCUGCGCGCCAUUAGCUAGUUGGCGGGGUAAUGGCCCACCAAGGCUCUGAUGGCUAGCUGGUCUGAGAGGAUGACCAGCCACACUGGGACUGAAACACGGCCCAGACUCCUACGGGAGGCAGCAGUGGGGGAUAUUGCGCAAUGGGCGAAAGCCUGACGCAGCGACGCCGCGUGGGUGAUGAAGGCCUUCGGG